GAUGAACGCUGGCGGCGUGCCUAAUACAUGCAAGUCGAGCGAACAGAUGAGGAGCUUGCUCCUCUGACGUUAGCGGCGGACGGGUGAGUAACACGUGGAUAACCUACCUAUAAGACUGGGAUAACUUCGGGAAACCGGAGCUAAUACCGGAUAAUAUAUUGAACCGCAUGGUUCAAUAGUGAAAGACGGUUUUGCUGUCACUUAUAGAUGGAUCCGCGCCGCAUUAGCUAGCUGGUAAGGUAACGGCUUACCAAGGCAACGAUGCGUAGCCGACCUGAGAGGGUGAUCGGCCACACUGGAACUGAGACACGGUCCAGACUCCUACGGGAGGCAGCAGUAGGGAAUCUUCCGCAAUGGGCGAAAGCCUGACGGAGCAACGCCGCGUGAGUGAUGAAGGUCUUCGGAUCGUAAAACUCUGUUAUUGGGGAAGAACAAAUGUGUAAGUAACUAUGCACGUCUUGACGGUACCUAAUCAGAAAGCCACGGCUAACUACGUG
rnacentral:rRNA from 1 species